AUGCAAGUCAAUCCACCCAAAUGUAUUGGGUUCUGUCUUGGACCAUGUUACACCCUUCCACAAAGUUUCAUGAAAUAUGGGCAAGUAGUUUUUCCCAAAUCCUGCUGACAAAGAAAUAUACAGCACUGAAAACAUAACCCCUGUGGCGGUAUAUAAUUAAGAAUAUUUUGGAGAAGUCACUGUAAAACAUAGUAGAUCACUCUCUUAAAAGAAAUGGUAAAAAUCUGCCAUGUUUUUCACAGCUGUGGACCCUUCCUCCUGGCCAGAAGUGGACUCCCAGCCUCUGAGCCUUGAAGAUUCAUGGAGGUUGCGUGUUGCCUCUGCCCAGGUAUAUUCCAUCCUGAGGAGCAGGGACGUGCAGCACUUUGAGAGAGUGAUGGGCUUUUUGGAAGCCACUUACAGACUUUUACCUAGACUGGUGGCUCCCAUCAAACACAUGAAGAUCAUUUUUGGCCUCAAGACCUUGGUAUGGACAUGAGUGGUGGUAGAAUUUAUUUAUUCUGCAAGCAUUUAAAAUCUGUGUUACUUAAAUGUUCCAGCUGCAGUUGAUCCAUGGCUGUAUUUUUGAAGUUUAUUUAUAUUCUAUCUAUUGAUAUCUUGGGAAUCGUCUCUCCUCCCAGGUCAUUAUGUGGAUGUUCCGGGAGGGCCGAGGAAUGGUUGAUACUGUGUUUAAAAUAAACCAGUUCUUCCCAAGUAAACUACCUCAAUACCAACAUCAGUGUAGCCAUCAUGAAAUGCUCCUAAUGAGGAAGAACCAUCUGGACUUCAAGGCUCUGGCACAAGCACUUGCUAUGGACAAGGACAAACGUGAAGAUUAUAUUAAGGUUAGUUUACUUCACCGUCUUUUAACAGUGAGAGUAACUGCCAGAGUAGGACAAAGAAUGCAAGAUAGGAUACAAGUUUAAAGUAACUUUUGUUCAUGUCAAGUUUGUCAGUAUAACAUGUUCAAGUGGACUUUUCCUUGACUCUUCGGGUCCCUGACAAUUAAACAAUCGCCUGGUGUCAGUGUGUUGAAUAAGUAGGCACAUAGCACUGUUUUCUCUCUCAGCCCCUAACUGUGAGUCCUUUUCGAUCCAGCAGGGCACACUACAGAUCUACAUUUAGAAAUAACUCCAUAUGUAUACAAGUCUAGAGAUGUCCAUGUAGUCAGAAUAAUUGGUGUAAUGAAAUUUAAAAGUAGUAAAUGAUUCAUAUUGUUGUUUCCUCUUGUAACUAUGCAGAUCUAAUGAACUCUAAACUUUGUGGGGAAACCAGCCAGACCGAUAUCGAUGCAGGUUUUGGAGUGAAAGAAUUCAAUUAAGAUUAGAUUACCAAUAUGGCGGUUGAUAUAGGGAGUUUUUGAGCUGGAAUGUAAGUAGACCUUUUGUAUGUGGCUUGUUAACAGAUUUUCCACCAUUAUAACCAUGAAAAUGAGGUGUUUUCUUAAACUAAUAACUUUAUAAACAUGUAAAUAGUUUAACAUUUGAUAUACAUUGGGCCUCAUGCAGCAACAUAAUUUUCUGUUAAGAGAAAAUGUAAGAAAACCCAACUCCAGAUGCACCAAACAUAUUUAAGCAUCCAAAUCUGCUCUUACCUAGGUGAGCUUAAUCAUGAAUCCCACUUGAUCUUAAAUAGAGCCGUGCGGCUGAUUGUUUAACAUAGGUAACACCCCCUCAACAUUUUAUAAGGGCAGCUCAUAAUCUAAUCUGAAUUUGAUAUUUAUGCAUUUUUUAUUUUCCUCAAAUUUAAAACCUGUUUCUUUGCAUUGGAAAAACAAUUUGUGGACUGUGAAAACCAGAUGUUUUAGUAGACAUUGCUGGGAGCUGCUUCUUCUCUCACUAUGUGCAGCUUGCCACAUGCAGCGCACUCUGAAAAUGCAGCGCACUCUGCUGGAUGAACUUUGCAGUGGCACCAAUAUAUUACCACAGGCAUUUUUUUCUGCAUCAUAUACUAGGGAAAAAAAGCAGUUUUCAUAUUGCUGCAACUGAUAUCAAUAAUAUCGGCCAACCGAUAUAUCAGUUGUGCUCUAUAAGUUCUAAUUGUUGAUCUAACUGUUUCCGAGAAUUGGUACUCCAGUAUUAAAGUUCACUGGGCAAAACAGUAAACAGACAAAUGGAGAGGAACAUUGUCGACAAAAAUAGAAACCCACACUGUUUAUCCGUGCACUAAAUUAAAUAAGCUUUGUACACACAAAAUCCACCCAGGUUAUAUUUCUUAAUGACACUGAAUCUUGAAACCUUUACAUUCUAGCUUUUGCAAUGUAUAAGUAAACCCAAAGUAUGUGUCUAAGCUGUAUGCAGAUUGGAGCCAGACCAAUAUAUAUACCAGCCGAUAUUGACUUAUUGCAGACACACACACAGAUAUAUAUAUAUAUGUAUGUAUUAAAUGUUUAAUAUUAUAAUAUAUUGGCGUCACUGCAAAGUUUAUCCAGCAGUGAGCUGCGACUUACAAUACUGUGGCAAUCAGCACAGAGUAAGAGAGAAGAAGCAGCUCUCGGUAAUGUCAACUAGAACAUAUACAUUAAAUGUUAAAUUAUUUAACAUGGUAAAGAAUAUUUAAGUUAAAUAUUCUUUAAUAAAGUUAUUUGUUUAAGAAAGCAGCCUUCUGAGUACAUUUACAGAGUCAUAUCAGUGCAAAAUUCCACUCCAAAAUUGGUAUUGGCCUCAAGAAAUCCUACAUCAGUCAGGCUCUAAUGCAAAUUCUCAAAGUGUGAUUCAGGGUUGUUUCCAGGUACCAUGCUAAGUGCUUGCUUCCUUUCAGAAUCAGAUGGAGGAGCGGUAUGGUGAACAUUAUGCCCAGAAAGUAGAAGACCGGCUGCUGCACUAUCUACACGAGUUGGAGACUGUGUUACCAGGAGAUACCUACAUUGAUAAGGUGUGUGUUUUAUGGUAGUGUGCACUUUAAUCUGUGCUUGCAGUUUGAAAGAGGUGCCCAAAACAUUAAUUUGAUAGAAGAGACGUGCAAUUAAAAAGCGGUAUUAAUUAUGAUGGUGGGACUUAUAAACACAUUAACAAUGUAAAACUUUGCAAUAGGGGUGUAAGAAAAUAUUAAAAGAAUUGCAAUUUUGUUUUGUGAUAUUAUAUCGAUUCUCAAAAACACUGCAUUGAUAGGCUAAACUGAUGACUGUGAUAAAUAUAAAUGCACAACUCACUGUUUUGGUUGCAUAAAAAAAGUCAACUUUGUUAUGCAUGGGGUGGUGUGGUCUUUAUAUUGUGACUCAUCAUCAUCAUAAUAGAUCGUCUUGCUUACAGUAUCGCAAUAUAUUGCAGUAUAUUGAAUCGUUGACAUUGUGAUACGUAUCGCAUUGCCAGAUUCUUACUGUUACUUCUUAUGUACUGUAAAUGUGUUCUCAUCAGUACAUACUCAGUACAGAGUACACUGAGUAAAGGUGUGUUUGGGCUGUGGGAUAAAGAUGCCAGUGGAGGACGGUAAUGAACACUGUGCAUUGCUUAGGGCUGAAACAGCCUGCACUACAAAAACAGCCCUUCUAGAAACAAGACAAAUAUUCUUAAAUGUAACCAAUUUUCUUAUAUUGAGCAAAAAACUUCCAAUUGGGUAAGCCAGUCUUCCUUGGCUAAAAUUCUUAAAACUAGCAUAAAAAUCUAUCCACUGAAAGAUUGUAAUGGGCCUUGUCAAUGUCAAAACCUUGUUCUAUUGCAAACCAUUGUUGCACUGUUUAAAUUUAACUCAAUAUCUCAGCACUUGGACCACAUAAGAAAGUGGCCCAAAUCAGAAUUGAAAAGAUCCAAUUCCAUGUGAUUUUUGCUGUUCACACUGCCAUGAAAAAAAUAGGUCUGAGUCAAAUAUGAGCAGUUUUGCCAGCAGUGUGUAUUUAGCCUCACCCUUCCCACCCUCCUCAGGAUGGUGAAGCAGGUUGUUGUGCCCCGUCAGGGCCUUAAUAGUGUACAUUCAUCGGACAUGUGACAGCAGACCAAAACUCCACAGGGUUCUUGAUUGAUAGAACAUGAAGAGCUUUAAAAAUGACAGCACUUGAACUGCCUAUGAUAUCAUCACAGGAAUGUCUCAUUGAUUGCAUUUCUGCCACAUAUGAAUGUGUGAACUAGAUACUGAAGAAAGACAGUCCUGUGACUGAAGAGGAAAAGCUAUUGUUGGAAGUAAUUACCUCUGACUCCACGACCAUAGCAACAACUCUAAAGAAACUGCUGCACUGUGGUAAGAAACACAACAACACACAAUCAACAAAUGUGAAAUUCAACUUUAUUAAAUAGACAACAGAAUAUUCUAAUAAAUUGAUGACUUUCAUGAAAAAACUGUGGCAAGUCAUAAUAGUCAUUAAUUAUUGCUUUGACAGCAAAAUAGUUUGACACUAACACAAUAAAAUACAAUAAUAAAAUAGAUAAAAGUCAAUGUAAACAUUUAAAAACAAGAAUACAAGGAAAUAAAUAAAUAAUUAUUCAUUAAUGGCAGUAAAAUAUUCUAAUCAAAAGUCAUGAACACUUUCAGCAGCUUGUUAGAUUAUUUCUAAUGUCACAAAGUACUCCACUCAUUUAGCAUUGCAGUAAUGAUGGACAGGAUCAAAGUCGGUGCAGCAGGACAAAAUGUAGAUCGUCUUUUAUUCCAUGCAUUUUUUUCCUUGUCAAAAUAUAGUGCCUACAUUAGCCACAAUGCAACUUGACUGCCGACAGUUCGGUCGGAGAUUUAAGUGUGUUAUGCUAGUAGCAGCUAAUGUAGGCACUUAUAGUCUUCAUUUAAUAGUCUUCAGCCCAAAUGACGCUAACUCAAGUGACAUCACUAAACGCAAUUAAUCUGACAACUUUUUCACAAUUGCAACAGUACUCCCAAGACCUGUAAAGAAUUGAUGUGUAAAAUCGCUGUAGUUCACCUUUAACAUAGAACAGAAUAAGAUGUAAUUGUGCUUGUACUCUGUGUGUCCUUUUUAUGUUACACUCUGUCUUUGCACCAAUGGUAGCAAGAUUUCCUUUACGUUUAGCCAAUAAUGCAUUUCUUUCUCUGAUGAUAAUUACACAUUUGUUAAUUAAAAUGCACUGCCUCUCUGUUCCUUUAGAUGUUGCCUCCUGUCGUCUGUGCAGGGUUUCUCAGUCAU
rnacentral:lncRNA from 15 species